CUACGGGGGGCAGCAGUGAGGAAUAUUGGUCAAUGGGCGAGAGCCUGAACCAGCCAAUCCGCGUGCAGGAUGACGGCCCUAUGGGUUGUAAACUGCUUUUGUAUGGGAAGAACUCCCUGACGUGUCAGGGGCUGACGGUACCAUACGAAUAAGCAUCGGCUAACUCCGUGCCAGCAGCCGCGGUAAUACGGCGGAUGCGGGCGUUAUCCGGAUUUAUUAGGUUUAAAGGGUGCGUAGGCUGAAUAGUCAGUCAGUGGUGAAAUCCUACGGCUUAACCGUAGAACUGCCAUUGAUACUGCUAUUCUUGAGUACAGUUGAGGUAGGCGGAAUGUGUAGUGUAGCGGUGAAAUGCUUAGAUAUUACACAGAACACCGAUUGCGAAGGCAGCUUACUAAACUGUCACUGACGCUGAGGCACGAAAGCGUGGGGAGCGAACAGGAUUAGAUACCCCCGUAGUC
rnacentral:rRNA from 1 species